AGUGCAAAUGAUGAUAAACAGACAGGGACAUCAGAAUACCUUUUAGGUUUUUAGGAUGAUUUGUCAAUGGGAAUCUCUUUGAUGCACU
rfam:Daucus carota subsp. sativus cultivar DH1 chromosome 6, whole genome shotgun sequence.